UACAGAGGGGGCAAGCGUUGUUCGGAAUUACUGGGCGUAAAGGGCGCGUAGGCGGCCAACUAAGUCAGACGUGAAAUCCCUCGGCUUAACCGGGGAACUGCGUCUGAUACUGGAUGGCUUGAGUUUGGGAGAGGGAUGCGGAAUUCCAGGUGUAGCGGUGAAAUGCGUAGAUAUCUGGAGGAACACCGGUGGCGAAGGCGGCAUCCUGGACCAACACUGACGCUGAGGAGCGAAAGCCAGGGGAGCAAACGGG
rnacentral:rRNA from 1 species